GUUCAAAUCUGAAGUUUUGAAAGAAUCACGGUCUUCUGAGACUUUCACUACAGGAAAAGUGCUAAUUACCGACGGCCUUGUACCGAAGGCCUUAGAGCCGUCGGUAAAGCAUUGGUGAUUUUAAAUACCGAAGGGCCGUAGGCCGUCGGUAAGUUGCUCCAUGAAUUCAGAUAAAAAUUUCAGAUUUCCCUCUCGUCGAAUUACUUNGUCCCCGUGCUGUAAAAACCUAAUAGCGUUUUCUUCCCUCCAAAAGUUGAUUGUGGUUCUUCCCCGGCAAAGCUGCUCUCGNGUUUUUUGUCGGCGAAGGUCCAUUAGGGUCAUUGACGGGAAGGGUGUGGGCCAUUGACGGUGUGGUGAGGAUGGUGGUGUCCUGAGCAGAGGCGAUUGGUACUGUGGUUGGGCGAUUAGGGUUUCGGUUGGGGGAUUCCUGCACNUUCUUUGGCUGCCGUGGUGUAGGGAGGCCAUUGUGGNGGUAGGGUGUCGAGAAUCAUCCCUUUCGUGCAAGAGGUAACUGUUAUUUAUUUAAUCCUUGGUUGAGAUACUUGCAAGAUACCCAUGAUAUGACCACAUGAUUGGGAUAUUAAAAAUUUCAUUUNAUAAACAAAGUGGUGAAGAGAUUGAGGCANAUAUGUCAUAGGGUUCUCGUGAGGUCAAUGAAAUGGUGGAUAUUUUUUAUUAAAAGGUGCUGAUAGAACUGAUAUUAGAAUUAGAAAGAAAGAGACNAUCUUGAAUUUUGUUGCCUCCCUAAUUCCAGUCCCAACAAAAGUAGUAAGGAUGGAGUCAAGGAAUAGAAAGAAUAGAACAGUACACAAUACAAUUACAGGUCAAUAGAGAGAACCUCACUUUCCAAAUAUCAUUAUAUUUUAC
rnacentral:lncRNA from 1 species